CUCAUUUAAUGAGAGGAUUGGUCGUGCCUGCCUAUAAAACUGGUUGGUGGCUCUCCCCGCCCCGUGCCGUUCUCUUCCCCCACCCCCGGCCUCGAUCUCUUCCAUCCAUCCAUUCCCUCCAUAAGCUUUGCUCUGAAAGGAUGUCUGAGAGGCCUAAUCGUCACCAGAGGAAGCCAUCACAGGGUGUCUUCCACCUCCCGGAAAAUUUCUCCAGCUUUGAAGCCCCUCCUCGCAUGGAAGCUGGCGAGAAAAAGGCCACAUCCAACUCGGUUCAGACAUCAUCAGAGAUUGCUCAUCCUCUGCCUCUUCCUGCCUCUCAGAGCCAGGAGCUGAAGGAAGGCAUAUCAAAGAAGUCGCAGAACUAAACCUCUCUCACUCUCUCGCAAUGGAUGCUCAAUGCUUUAAAAUUUCUGCCGUCGUUGUUGUUUCUUAUCUUGAGACAAUCUAGUUUGACGCUUGGAGAGGAGAGGUUUCACUUUGCCUAAGUGAUUAGUAUUUCGGAGAAUAAACGUCUUUUGGAUGUUUAGUAUAAAUUUCUACUAGAUUUUAUCGUACUAGUGGUUGUGUGCAGUUUUGAAUGGCUUGUGAAAUGUGUGGCUAGCUUUGUACAAUCUUGCCCUGUUGAAAAGUCUUAACCACCACUUUUAUUGCUCGGUUCCCAUCAAUGCUCCAAUAGAAUGGCAAAAAUCCGUUUGAGGGGCAAGAGCAAAUAUCUUGGACCUGGGUGCCCGUCUGAGUUCGAUCCAUUGUUUCAAGCGAUCGGGACCAAACACUAUGCUCCUAUGAGCUGCUUUCUUUAAGUCAAAAGAUGCGACGCCCAAGGCACUAUAUCAUGCAU
rnacentral:lncRNA from 1 species